rnacentral:rRNA from 1 species
CAGUAGCCGCGGGAAUACGUAGGGUGCAAGCGUUAAUCGGAAUUACUGGGCGUAAAGCGUGCGCAGGCGGUUAUAUAAGACAGAUGUGAAAUCCCCGGGCUCAACCUGGGAACUGCAUUUGUGACUGUAUAGCUAGAGUACGGCAGAGGGGGAUGGAAUUCCGCGUGUAGCAGUGAAAUGCGUAGAUAUGCGGAGGGACACCGAUGGCGAAGGCAAUCCCCUGGGCCUGUACUGACGCUCAUGCACGAAAGCGUGGGGAGCAAACAGGAUUAGAUACCCGCGUAGUCCCUGUCUCUUAUAC